GUGGCAGACGGGUGAGGAACGCGUGGGAACGUACCCCAAAGUUCGGAAUAACUAUUGGAAACGAUAGCUAAUACCGGAUGUGACCGAGAGGUUAAAGGUUUACCGCUUUGGGAGCGGCCCGCGUUAGAUUAGCUAGUUGGUGGGGUAAAGGCCUACCAAGGCAAUGAUCUAUAGCUGGUCUGAGAGGAUGACCAGCCACACUGGGACUGAGACACGGCCCAGACUCCUACGGGAGGCAGCAGUGGGGAAUAUUGGACAAUGGGGGCAACCCUGAUCCAGCAAUGCCGCGUGAAUGAUGAAGGCCUUAGGGUUGUAAAGUUCUUUUAUUGAUGACGAUAAUGACGGUAAUCAAUGAAUAAGCACCGGCUAACUUCGUGCCAGCAGCCGCGGUAAUACGAAGGGUGCUAGCGUUGUUCGGAAUGACUGGGCGUAGAGGGUGCGUAGGCUGCCAGAAGCGUCUGAUGUGAAAUCCCUGGGCUUAACCUAGGAACUGCAUUGGAUACGGUCUGGCUAGAGUCCGCGAGAGGAAGAUGGAAUUGUGCGUGUAGAGGUGAAAUUCGUAGAUAUGCACAAGAACACCGGUGGCGAAGGCGAUCUUCUGGAGCGGUACUGACGCUAAGGCACGAAAGUGUGGGGAGCAAACAGGAUUAGAUACCCUGGUAGUCCAC
rnacentral:rRNA from 1 species